GUGGCGGUGGUUCAGUGGUAGAAUUCUCACCUUCCGUGUGGCAGACCUGGGUUUGAUUCCCGGCCAACGCA
rnacentral:tRNA from 1 species